CUCUCUCCUUUAUCCUCUCCAUUUCGACGGUGAAUCGGUGAUGAAGAAAACCCUGCCUUUUUUUUGAUCACCCACAUACAGCUUCUCUUCCUCUUUAUUCUCUUGAUCUUCUUAUAUGAUGCAACUCCGCAUCCACAACGCACAAUCCUUAAUGCUUGAGCACCACUACCAUCACCAAUUCAACCGCCACUAGGACUACCUUCUUCUUCUUAGAACCCGAUCUCUUGUUGAAUAUCUUUAGUAGAUACCGUAGAUCCAGUAAUUAUAUUUGUUAUCUAGGGUUUCAAUUACAGAGAUGAGCAAGAGAUUACUUUGAUUAAUCUACAGGAGGAUUCAAAUUGAGAAAACACAUGUAGAAAACCCUUUCCCAAAUUUUGUUCUUAAUCAGAUGCAGGAACUCCCUUAGGUAUUUCAAUUUGUGAACCUUCUCCGUUUGUCUUAGCGAACUGUAGAGUUUUUGAUGUUGAGAUUUCUGCGGAAGUAUAGCUAACUCUCGUGCCUUCAGGGAGAUAUUGUUGUAAUAGAACAAAGCUUUGGUGCACCUAAAGUGACUAAAGAUGGUAUCACCGUUACUGAAAGCAUUUAGUUCAAGGACAGAAGUAAGAACAUUGGUGCCAGCCUUGUAAAGCAAGUAGCAAAUGCCACCAACAAUAUAGCUGGUGAUGACUGUGUUAUAUGUGCAGGUCAGUUAUGAUAUUCAUUACAUCAUUUGUCAAUGUCUUUGUCGGCACUUAAGAGUAUAGUUCUGACUUUGUACCAAUUGUUGAAGGAAACUACACUAUUACAACCCAGAAGCUGAAAUGGAUGACAACAUCAGGAAAGCCAGUUCACAAAUAUUGAAGGAAGCUACACUACUUCGUUUCUGUCAUUGUUAACAAUCUUUACGCCAAUGCCUUUACUCCGCAGAGGAAGAUGCUGACAUCGACUUCUAACAAACUCUCCUUAAUAAACUAUGGAAACUCCCCUUAACAAACUACAGUCUGAAUUCGACCACCACAUCUUACUUCCUUUGGUUGACAACUAAAAGUUGCAUCGAGUCUGUUAUUUUUUUCAUACCACAUCUUACUUCCUUUGGUUCUGAAUAUGAAGUUGAUGUUAUGGUUUUAAUAUUUUUUAAUUUGUUUUUGAUGUUGUAGUUGUGUAGAAGACCUUAAGGCUCAGUUGCUUGAAUUUGUGAACAAUUGGAAGUCUUAUCCAUUGUUCUUAUGUCGAGUUUGUUUGGAGUGCUUUUAUACUAGCUUCCUUUUGCAUCA